AGAUUGAACGCUGGCGGCAGGCCUAACACAUGCAAGUCGAGCGGUAGAGAGGUGCUUGCAUCUCUUGAGAGCGGCGGACGGGUGAGUAAUGCCUAGGAAUCUGCCUAGUGGUGGGGGAUAACGUUCGGAAACGGACGCUAAUACCGCAUACGUCCUACGGGAGAAAGCGGGGGACCUUCGGGCCUCGCGCCAUUAGAUGAGCCUAGGUCGGAUUAGCUAGUUGGUGAGGUAAUGGCUCGACCAAGGCGACGAUCCGUAACUGGUCUGAGAGGAUGAUCAGUCACACUGGAACUGAGACACGGUCCAGACUCCUACGGGAGACAGCAGGUGGGAAUAGUUGAACGAAUGGGACGAAAGCCCGUAGA
rnacentral:rRNA from 1 species